UGAAGAAGUUCGGUACACUAAUGGGCCUGAAUCGUUGCUCAGACCUGUAUUUUCGACCAGGUGAGCAAACUUUCAGGUGUGUUAGUGCCGGCUGGUCUACA